rnacentral:rRNA from 1 species
UCGAACGAGAAAGUGGAGCAUCCAUGAGUACAGUGGCGUACGGGUGAGUAACACGUGGGUAAUCUACCUCUUAGUGUGGAAUAACCCUGGGAAACCGGGGCUAAUACCGCAUAAUCUCGAGAGAGGAAAGCAGCAAUGCGCUGAGAGAGGAGCCCGCGGCCGAUUAGUUAGUUGGCAGGGUAAAAGCCUACCAAGACAGAGAUCGGUAGCCGGCCUGAGAGGGCACACGGCCACACUGGCACUGAAACACGGGCCAGACUCCUACGGGAGGCAGCAGUGGGGAAUCUUGCACAAUGGGGGAAACCCUGAUGCAGCGACGCCGCGUGAGCGAUGAAGCCCUUCGGGGUGUAAAGCUCUUUCGGCAGGGAAGAUAAUGACGGUACCUGCAGAAGCAGCUGCGGCUAACUACGUGCCAGCAGCCGCGGUAAUACGUAGGCAGCAAGCGUUGUUCGGAGUUACUGGGCGUAAAGGGUGUGUAGGCGGAUGUUUAAGUUUGGUGUGAAAUCUCCCGGCUCAACUGGGAGGGUGCGCCGAAUACUGAAUGACUCGAGUGCGGGAGAGGAAAGUGGAAUUCCUGGUGUAGCGGUGAAAUGCGUAGAUAUCAGGAGGAACACCGGUGGUGUAGACGGCUUUCUGGACCGUAACUGACGCUGAAACACGAAAGCGUGGGUAGCAAACAGGAUUAGAUACCCUGGUAGUCCACGCCCUAAACGAUGCAUAUUUGGUGUGGGCCAUUCAGUUGGGUCCGUGCCGGAGCUAACGCGUUAAAUAUGC